CCUCCUGCACGUGCCUGGCCGGGGAAGAGCCUGCAACCAAGGUGCUGUUGUCCCCCCCCUCCGGGGCUCGCAGGCCCCCAUGGAGAUCCCGUCCCCCCAGCCCGUGAAGCAGGAGGGCCAGGCCAUCGAGGGCCUGGAGCGCCUCCUUGACAUGUGUCCUUUGGUGGCGUUU